rnacentral:rRNA from 1 species
AAGCGUGGAGUAUGUGGUUAAUUCGACGCAACGCGCAGAACCUUACCUAGGCUUGCAUCCGGAAUUUGCUGGAAACAGUGAAGUGCUUUCAUUAGAAAGAGCCCGGUGACAGGUGCUGCAUGGCUGUCGUCAGCUCGUGUCGUGAGAUGUUGGGUUAAGUCCCGCAACGAGCGCAACCCUCGCCUUUAGUUGCCAGCAUUCAGUUGGGCACUCUAAAGGGACUGCCGGUGUCAAACCGGAGGAAGGUGGGAUGACGUCAAGUCCUCAUGGCCUUUAUGUCUAGGGCUACACACGUACUACAAUGGCCGGUACAAAGGGCAGCCACUCAGCGAUGAGGCGCUAAUCCCAUAAAGCCGGUCUCAGUCCGGAUCGCAGUCUGCAACUCGACUGCGUGAAGUUGGAAUCGCUAGUAAUCGUAGAUCAGCAUGCUACGGUGAAUACGUUCCCGGGCCUU